ACCUGGGUGGCUCAGUCAGUUGGGCGUCUGACUUCGGCUCAGGUCAUGAUCUCACAGUUUGUGGGUUCAAGCCCCACGUCAGGCU
rnacentral:tRNA from 1 species